AGAUAUCCGAUGGAGCGGAAUGGCUCUCUAUCCUGUCGGUCUAGGAGAAGCUCAGAUGUUUUUGAGGCUGCUGAUGAGUCUACUAUUGUCGGAUGCCUUAGGCGCUGAUGCUACAGACGGGAGUCAUCUGCUAUAGAAGCUCGGAUGGAGGCUUUUUGUCGGUGAAGUCUGGUAGGAGUCCGGUUGCUAGGGAAGCCCAUCUGAGAUUUGCCUGAUGUGGAAGCUCGUCUGAAGAUUAUCCAUCGGAGAAGUCCGAUUUCAUGAGGGAUCUGACAGAGGAUCAGCUGGUGGUGGACCUCGGAUGGCAUUGGGGAGG
rnacentral:lncRNA from 1 species